UUGAAUACGUGUACAUUCAAAACUCUAUUUGCAACAGCGAGUAGACUUUAACGUUUUCUUUUAAGUGCAACGAACUUCAUAAAAAUCGGUUCAAUUGACAUGUUCUGACACACUGCACUUUAGUUUGCACGCGGUUUGUUAGCAACCGCCAAUAGCGUUGGCGGCAGUGCUAUCGCUGACAGCAUAGAGCAAUGGCGACCACCGUGUUACAUCAACAACGCAUCUUGCCAUCUUGCAACACAACGCACGCUCAAGCUUUUGCUAAUCUUUGAAAGGUGGUCGCUUAUCUCAGUAAUACCGAGUGCUUUAGUAGACGAGUAGCGUCAGUUAUCACAGCGUGUUCAAUGGCUGCUCUCUGACUAGCUUCCGCGUUAACUGCGUACAGAGCUGGUCUUGUGCUGUUCGAGAAAAUGCUUCGACACGGACUUAGUGCUCUGCACGCUAAACCGUGCUAAAUCAGUAUCGCUGACUCCGUGGAUUCGCGGCGACCUUCACGACUACUGCCUAUGCAUUGAUGACGAAGGACAACGCACCGUACGUCGUCCCGGUCAAGAGCUCCGACGUGCGACAUCGCUGGACGAAAUAUCUGCGCGUGCGGAUUUUCACAGGAAUUGACGCUUGUGCACGGGUCGUGUGACGGAAUAACGCGUUUCACUUCAACAUGUACAACCAAAUAACUUCAGCGUUGAUGCUGCGCAACUUGAGCAUGGUCUGGUCUUUCCUACUGUGCUGGACUUCACCACUUGACUGUGCGUUGUCGACCCGGCCAUGAUUGCAGUCUGCGGUCGCCGCAUGCCAAUUUAACUGCUUCUGAGGUACUUGAUCACUGAGGCAACGUGGGCAGCGAAGCUCAACUAGGCAUGCCAUGCUGCUCACUGGAUGGAAGUAUCCUUUGGACAGCACAUGGGGGCACUCGGGAUGAGAGAAAGUGGGAAGAACAUUACGCAAAACUCUUUCUAUAACAAUAAGGGGUAAUAGAGAGAAAUGACCCAUACUGUUAAAGGAACUUGUGUCAUAUUUGCCUUUCAAAAAAGAUGGUCAGGCGUUUACGAAAAUAUUUGCAUAACAGAAACCAAUUACACCAUAUAUACCUGGUGUGUAGUUGUUUUGUUACGGUACAUGUAUCUCAAAACACAGUGGACUUUCCUUCAGUUGAUGCUGAUUAACUAAAUUUUUUGGUUAAUCUGAUCCUGACCAAAGGUCCUGGCUGUCACCCCUACAUUUGUGUGGUACAAAUUUUCGUUAUUUUCAUCCUGAAAUUAGCCUUCGCCGGAUAAUUCAAAGGUGCCCGUUCGUCAGGCACACGUUCAUCCCCUCUGGUGAAUGCAGUAGUGAUUUCAAUAGUGGCAGCAUCUAUCUCAGCGACACUUGUGGUACGGGAACACGUCGAAAACGUAUUAUCUCCCGUUAAGAACACAUAUUUUUGGCCUAUCUCAGGGUCAUAUUAAAGCGAAACUGGUAGCUCACAAUUAAUAAUAACAUAUUUACCUUUUCCUAAUUUGUACCUUUUUCUUUUUUCCAAGAAAAUUUGCCCGAAAUUGCUUUGGUGGCACAGUCGUAUACAAAGCCAAAACUGCAUUCACAAAGCUUGCCAUCAAAGCCAGUGUCAUCGUCGUUGCCGUUGCAAGAUGGCGACUCAGAUAGCACAACAACGACACCCUAUUUUCAGUCUUUGAUUACGAAAGCUCUUUAAAGAUAAGUUAUUUUACAUGUUAAGCUAGCAACAACAAGCCACGUCACAUGUUCUUGGCAUUCUGGAGAACUGCAUGUAUCACAGGACGAACUAGCAAAGUGUUAGUUCUAGGUGUGGGUCACCAGCCCAUUAGUAAUAGUUAUGGUGUCUUUAGAUAAGUGUGGAAUAUCAAAGGCGCUGUGGACUGUAUAAAGGAUGUUUGUCAUCAUAGACAACAAUAAAGUGCUGUCUGAAAGGGAUGACGAUAGACAUUAAAUAAAUAAAAUCCUACUUUGUGAAGGUAAAGUUUGCUGGUUUUGUCUUUUUCUUUUGUGCCAGAAUCGGCGGCAUGCUUCAUUUUUAUUGAUAAAAGGUUGAAUGCACAUUCAAUUUCUACUUUGUUUUGAAGCUCUAGCAUCAUCUUCAUGUUAGUUUUCUACUUCGAACUCAUAAAAUGCGGCUGCUGUAUGAUUCAAAGCAUGUUACGACUGGGGAAGCUACUGCCAAAUGAGUCGGCAGUUCGGUGGUUUUUCUGCCUCUUGCUUAAUUCUAGCUGCUGGAUAAUUGGACCAAUUUCAUCAGUCCCAUCUGGAUCAGAUUAACGGAAAUCAGUAGUAGUAAAUUGGUGGGCUAGUGUAUGUGCGAUACUUUGUGCUGGUCUGGUAUGGCAAGAAGCGUAGAUCGUGGACAAGAAAGGUGCUCACUUGCAACUGAGGUCCAUUGAAAAAACAUUACACCAUGAGUAUUCAUAAGCAUAUGCUGACAGCACUGUUUUUUUUUAACUUUUUGAUGUCGUAUGGUAUGUUGCCACAUCUUGGGAUAAUUUUUUUGUUUGUUUUUAAUAUUGUCAUUUCAUAUUUGUCUACUAAAGGGCAGUUUUAAAGGCACUUGCAGCUGGAGUAUAGGAAUGGGAAAUGACUCCAUACAAAUGUGGUUGAACAAGAAAAGUGAAAUAAAUUUGGAUGCUAUUUCUGUCUGAUUUGUGUGAAGCAUAUAUAGCACAGGAACUAAAAACAAAUCUCCCAUUUUAGAUGGUAAUGUUUCAAUUGAAGCAACCUAACAUUUAUAGUGCUUCAAGUUGUCUUAGUUCAGUGCACAGCCUAGCAAAAUGUGUAAGGAAGGGGCAUACAAGGUUUAAUUGAAACAUAUCUAAGUGUGAUAAGAUUGUUAGUGUUCACAUAGACUGUAAUUGCAGAAGUUUUGGGUCAAGCUUUUUCAGAAGCAUUCCAGCAGCCUGCCAGCACUUUUGAAGCUGCCUGUGAGCUUUGAAUAAAUUUAGCUAGGCACAUAAUUAUUCCUGCAGAACAUUUUUGCAUGUCUACAGGCUUUUUACGUGUUGAAAUACAAAAUGAAAAAAAGAUUUGAGCAUGGUGACACAGACAGGUGUUUCCACAAUAUAAUGAAGGACAGUGGUUCAGUUUAAAAUUAGUGUUCCAUCAUUGGUAAUCACUAAGUAGUGAGUCGGCUGAUGUUCACCAUUGAGAAACAAACAUUGAACUCAAAUAUUGAAAGGAUAGGCAAAACAUUACGCACUGUAAUAUUGGGGUUUAUUGAAAAAUAUACAGAGUUAAGGCUUUUGCAUGUAAUUUUUAAUUUUACGGAGUGCUGAUUCAUUUUAACAAUUGUAAAAGUCCACCCACAUGCUUCUCACUCAUAAAAAAUUGGCACUUAAUGUAAAAAGCAUACUAAAGUUUGUCUCAAAGUGCCGAGCUUAGUGUCGACAUUACUUAACAUCAUGACACAGAAAAAGAAAUUUUCUGACGUGUAGCAGUAAGGCUGGGUAUGGUGAGGCUUCUCAUGUAUGCACACACACAAAAAAAGGAAAAAGAAGUGCUGCCUACCUGCUUUUCUUUCUUUUUUGGCUGCUUGCCUUUUUUUUUCAUUGAUCUUAUGAACAGAGCUAGCUAGCCAUUGUUUCACAACGUCAUACCACCUCCAAUGUCUGGGUGCUGGAACCAAAAGUGGUUUGUGGAAACAAGUAAUGUAAUAAAUAAUUUCUUAUUUUAUGUCGAAGUACUGCUGUCUCACAUUUGAGACAUAGCAGGAGUGUAUAAGUGCACUAAUACGGCAUUCAUACAAUAAACAUGUUACAUGUACAAGAAGUUCCUUCCCAAAAUGCUCACGUGGCAAUUUGCACAGGACAGACAUGUCGGUUAUUCCAUAUUUCAGUGGUAAAUGGCAAGAAAGAAGAUGAUGAGCAAUAUGAGAAUAAGGUGAAAGCAGGAGCCAAAGUUUCCACAAGUUCUCCUUGUUCUCGUUUUGCUCAUCGUCUUGAAUUUCCAUCUCCUGCCUUCGCCGUGUUUUCCCAGAAGGAAGAUAUGAAGUUUCUUAGAAAGAUAUAAAUGAAACAAUAUUAAAAGCAUCAGUUUGUGUUCUAUGAACUGAAGAGUUUAUGAGCAUCACAGGUGCAUCGGUGGAAAUAGAAGUCUGUGAAAUUUUAUGCAGCACUACAAUCUAGGCAACUGUAUAAUUUUCCACUAUUCAUCCUAGGUUUAAGAGGUCAUGGGCUUUCAUUUAUGCAGUAAUGACAAGUCAGAACGUUGCGUCAGUAUUCAAUUAAAUGCAUCACUUUUCUUUCAGCAUUAUAUUCUUUUCAGUAUUCUUUAACGAGGACUUCUAAAGCUUUAAUAUCACUUACCAUGCAUGAAGCAUUUGGUUUGACUCUGUAGAUUAAGCUUCUUAUUCCUUUUAUAUACUAUUUUAUUUAUUUAGUUAUUUCUUAUAGAUUUAUUUGUAACUAUUACUACUCCGGAUACUUCAAGUAGAGCAGUAAUUCUUUAUGCAUUUCAAGCUAUUGGUGUUAGCUGAUGCCUUACUGCUGCUAAGUUUACGUGUUUAAAGCCAUAGCUGCCAGGAUGGGGAAUAUCCACUCCUUCCUCUAAUUCAACUGAACAUGCUUCAUCAGCCUGUCCCUGAAAGCAGGCUGCCUCAGCCAUGCACCUUGAACCAGUGCCAGAGCCUGCUGAUGUUGUCUAGUAUGCAUGAUAAAGUAUGAUGUCAUUUGCGCAAGUAGUGUUAAUGCGUCAGUGCAUAGAUCACGCACCAACGCUCGUGCCCGCAAAGCAUCAAAGCAAUGCACCACACUAAAAUGGCUGAAAUUUCACACUAAAGUCGGCACACCCUUCCUCUUGAGGGAGGCACCGCUUCCAGCCGCAGAGUCAGUCGCACGCACAAAUGCUUCUACAAAAAACGCAAUCCAUGCAACUUCGCCAACCAUGGCAUACGACUUCGGUAAAUCAUCCAAUGUGAAACGUGCAGUGCCGCCAAUGAAAGUGCACUGCCGGGCAAAAAAAAAAGAAGAAGAAAAAAAGAAAACUGGUCUCCUCGCGUAAACGUGGCGCUGUCCCUCGGUGCCUGUAAGGGAAAAGACGAGGAACGAAUGCCACUUGUGGAUGCCAGUCGAGACAGAGGGGGAGAGUGUCUCUGUUUACAGUAACACUCGCCUCCUGGUGGCAUGGUAACAGGACAGUUCAAUUUCUUGUAUGUGCUUUAAUGAUGAAUCAGUUCGAAAUUUUUUUGGGGGGGGGAUAGAACGCUUUCUGGAUGGCACCUUACAGCUUCCUGUGUAUAACCGAAAUUUUCAAUGGAGCCUGGUGAAUCGCCCUUCAAAACAAUUAGAGAUCAAACUAGUAAGCAGUCUUCAGUGUGUGGUCAGGAAAAAACAGCAUGCUCUUGUUCAAAUUAUAACUUCGCCUAAUGAAUUGCAUUUUUCAUACAUUGUGCAUCUGCUGCAGAAACAUUGCAGCAGGGAACAACAGCAGAGGAAAAUGAAGUUGCUCUCAAUAGUACUGAAACGUAAGAAUCAGAAAAACAACAUAGUGGACGAUCGAGAGCGACCUAGUGCAGGCAUUAUAAUUAUGUUAUUAUGACUGUUACCAAAAAAAUUGACCCCCUUUUUUUCUUUACUUCUCAUAGGUGUAGCAGUGUCAUUUGUGUUAAUAUUUUCCAUUUUUCUUUCAUGUUUUGGUGACAUUGCUCAAUUUUAUUGCAGUUAUGUAUUUAUUCAAGUAUAAGGCGAGCUUUUUAUUCAGACUUGUAGCCUCAAAGUCACCCCUGGCCUCAUAUGCGAGGCUGAUAGACCCAGUGCCACAUUUUCAGCGAUCCAGAUUUUACAGAGCAGUGCACAUUGUAGUAACUAAUAAACCUUGGCAGGUGAGGCGGUACUGUCAUCUUUGCCUAUAACCUACACCGAGAAUUCUAAAAAUUUUACAGUAAUGGCAGGGGGGAGGAGGUUAUAUGCAAAUUUCUGUUUGAUGUGUGACUUCACGACAGCCUGAAUUUCACCUUAUGGUGUGGUUUCGCGGCAGCGCGUCUGGGGGUGUCCGAUUAUUUGGUAUUUUGGGCAGUCCCCACAGAGUCUCAAUAAUCUGCCGCCUGUUCUAUAUCACCCUAUAUUAGUGUGCAUACUUAAGUUACAUUUCUUGGGUCCCCCAACUGGGAAGGGGGGAAAUCCUCGCCUUGUGAUUGUCACUGCCUUAUAAUCGAAUAAAUACGUCGUUUCUAGGAAUACUGCUCUGGACGUUGACAUUUAUGACUCAGUGACCACGAUGCUCUGAUGCCAAGCACAAUAUCUACAGUGGUCGCAUUUCGAUGAGGGCAAACUGCUAAAGCAUCUGUGCCGUGAGCUUUGGUGUGCAUUAAAGAACUGCAGGUUGUCAAAAUCAUUUAGGUGCCCCCCAUCGGCAGCCUCGCUCCUUAAUCAGAUUGUGGCUUUGAAGUGUAAAAACCCAAGAAUUAAAUUUUGUCAGUUAUAUACGGAAAUUCCUCGACCUCACUUGAAUCAGGCACUGGGGUCAGUACAGGUAAUUUUGCAAUUUUAUUUUUGCCAGCACUUUGCUGGAAUUCAGUUUCUAAAACAAAGUGGUGUCAGAAAAUUUGCAUUAGUACUUCAUCGUCCAUUACUCUGUUUACUCCCCUCUCCCAAUGUAAAGUAACUGGCCAGUGUGCAGUAGCUGAGGCUUCAUGAUGGCCGCAUGAUAUUGUGCAGCAGACGAUAGGAGGGAUUAAGUGAGGGUAAUAUCAGGUUGUGGCCAAUGUUUCAAUAAGGGGACUUCAAAGACAGACUGAAACAUUGGCUCCAGCUUGAAAUAUCUCUUUUUGUGCCUUCGUUGGUCAUUUGAAAUAUCUCAUACUGUGAUACUCUUGAUUGAUUGAAAGGCAUUGGUGAUUUGAUCACUCAGUUUUGGCUUGCAUACAAGUCUAGUUCAUAAAUCAUGUUAAACUUCUUUCCAGGUUUCUGCUGACAGACUGCAUAUUGAAGCUCUUCAGUGCACCCAGAUGCAUCCAUAUUUCCUGCAAAGCUGUCAAGGGGAUUCCUUUGUUGUUGUUUAGAUUGUGUUUAUCAGGGAUCAGCGGUAGAUGCUGUUACAUUUUUGUGUGAAAGAAAUAUCCAGGUGCAUGUUUUGUGUCAUGCUUAACAUGUGCAUACUCUCGCCAUUUCUUUCCCACUUGUCGACAAGGCCUCAUUCCCGAGCAGUACAUGUGUGUUAAAGUGUCGAGGUAAUAGUAAGCAACAAAGGGCAAUGUAGAAAGCUUAUUCUCUGCUUGUCAAUGUUAUGAAGUGGCCCACUCUGGAGUGGCAGUUGUGUUUGUGCAGGUUUGUGCAAAAUAACCUAUGCAUUAUUUUUACUGUUUAAUGAUUUCUGAAACUCUCGAAUUGUAUUCCUGAUUGUGAGCUGUGAAACCUCUUGGCUUAAGAGCACUGUGACUUCUUGUGUCACAAUGUGGGUUACCAACCGGCCUCAAUUUAGUGGGGAACUCCAGACUUUUAAGUAAAAGUCCAUAUUCCAGACUUGACAUGGUUGCGAUGGCCAAAUGUCUUGACUUAUGCUUUUUUUCUUCUACUGAAUAACAUUCACUAAACCAUGUUAUCUUUCGAUAAUGCCUGGCAACUUGGUAGUGCAUUAUUCUCUUUUGUCUUUUGUUACAUUGUCAUAAACCCUGAAGUGUUUUUGUUUUUGUUGCGAUUCUACUUUUGUUGUAGGUGUCAACUGUCCACAGUACCGCUACCUGUAUUUUCAACUGUGCUAGCCAGGCAACCUUCUUGUAAAUGGUGACAUCAUAGGACUGAAAAUAUUUGUGCAAAUUUAUUGCAUUUAAAGACUAGUGGCUUCUGGCACCGACAGGCUCAGUCGUGCCGGGAGCCGCCAGUCGGUUUUAAGAUAUGCUCUAUGGUUAGGUAUUAUGCACAACUGAAACUGAAGCUACCAUGAUGGUGUGGCUGCCCUAGUUGCAUUAGGAAUGUUCACUUGAUCAUUUCUAAUGCAUCCAGAAACGUCACUAUAGCAUAGUUGUCUUCAUACAGAGAAAUUCGCCAUCUCAUAGUUUCUUUGCAUGCUGUUGCUCUAUGAACCAUAGGCAAUCUGCAGUGCAAUUAUGGUUGCGCACGUAGCUGUCUGUGCUAGCACAAAGAUGUUUUUUUCAAAUGUACUUUGUAAGCAAGGCUUUAUCCCGGGUAAGCUGAGCUCGGUGUAUAGAAGUGAACGGUAUAUUGACGCCUUCAUGAAACAAUUCAUUGGUGGCAGCGAGACUAACACACCCUAUUUAUUCUUUCCAGUUUUCUCUUCUAAAGCUUCCUCCCGGGCAUCAGCUGAAAUAGUUCAGUGCAAGGCGGAGCCGCCGCAGGUGCCAUUGGUCAUCGUCCCCGACGAAGACACUCUGGAUGCACUGGAUGAUUCCACUCAGUCCUGCAGUGAUGAGUACAUCGAGGGCGCUGUAGAUGCAGCAGACUGCAAUGCCCUGUCCUUGCCUGGGCAACACAAAUGCUUUGUUUGCCUCCGCACGUAUUUUAGCGCAGUGCUCUUGGAUAGGCACAAGUGUCCUGGCAGGCCAGAAAAGAGGUUUACAUGUCACAUCUGCUUCCGCGAGCUGAACAGGGAGGGUCACCUGGCGGCCCACAUGCGCGUACACACGGGUGAGAAGCCAUUUAAGUGCACCGUCUGCUCGCGCGCCUUCCGGCAGAAGUCUAACCUGACCGUCCACAUGCGCCAGCAUACGACAGGGGGCCCGUUCCAUUGUGCUGCCUGCCCAAGGUCGUUCACUCGGAAGGAAUAUUUGCAGACUCACAUGCAGCGUUACCACAUGCUGUGAAGGCAUUUCACAGCCGUCGCCGUCGGCCAGAAAUGAAACACGAUCAAAAUUGUCUUGUGACUUGUGGCACCAUGCCAUCUGCUGGCAACAUCUUUCAGCUGGCGUUUGGUUGCUCGUAGCUGGGCCAUGAACUUGACCAAAAAGCUAAAGGUAAAAUGAUCCUUUUGUUCAUAGGAGUCUUUGCAUCAAAUAAAGCUUUGGUUUAUGAGAAGCAAACUUUAUAUCUGAAGAAAACAAAACAAAUGAGGCCAGCAUCUCCAGGGUAUAACUUUCAUAUUCGGAAGUGCAUCUUAACUUGAAGCCCAUGCAUGACUUGAUCUAAACAUCUGGCAUUGACAGGUCCAAGACAUUGCGUUUCCUUCGGCUCAUUCACUAUAGGCAUCAUUUAGGUCAAGUCUAGCUUGGGCUUCAAGUUAAGAUGCAUUCUUGAAUAUGGCAUAAGACUUGCUAGUGUCACGGCUCGUUAGCACAAAGGACAAACAGCACUGGCAGGAAGUAGAUCAAAGCGUAAUACAGAAACAAAUGCACAGCGGGAACGUGCUUUUGAGCAACAGUAUCAAGAUUGGGCAUAUCUCAAAUGGCAGCAGUGCUGUGAAUACAGUCUGGAUGUUCUUGUAUCAAAUAGUGCUGUUAAUUUCGGGCACAGUCUUUGAUGUCAUUUGGCUCCCAAUUCCUUCCUUUUGCGUUUUAUAAUUGUGUAACCACAGCAGUAUUGGUACAACUGCUCUGCCAAUUGCUGGACAGGUGUAAACAAUGGUUGCUUGAAGCAUGCGAACUGAGCAAGUUGUGGCACGUAGUGUAGGAAGCACCUGCUGCUGCAACGCAUGAGUUGCAAAUAGUUCGUCUAAGUGAAAGAGAAUAUAAAAAGAAGCUUCCGGAUUGUUCUCACAGCCCCCUAUAAGAUCAUGUGAAGUCAUGGGCCACAGUUCAUAGUAAUGGCAGCUCGAGGGCUGUUACUCUUGCAAGAUAUAUUCAUCGUAACAUUAAAAGAAAACACUGUCCAGCAAUUAGAAACUAUUCACUUUGGCUUGUAUAUAGACACAGUGGUCAAUGUUUCCAUGUUCAAGUUUCACCGCGAAGGCAGGAAGAUGUAGACAUGUUGAGCAGGAUCCACAUGGCUGUGUUUUGAAAUAUAUUGGGCGACAUGGCAGUAGAGGCUCCCAGUGAAUGACUGCACACUGCUGCAUGUUUUGUUUAAUGCAAGAAGGUAUCACACCAGGACACUGUCUCCACUGCUGAAGUUGAUAGCCUUAUUUGACUGCAGCCUGUAUAUCACUGGCAGUAGUGCAGUUCUUGUGGCAUCACUAACUGCGAGGCAAAAGAUGGAGAAAGCAGGCAAUAGGAUCAGUCCACAUUUUGUUGCCUUUGCUUUUCGCAUUGAAUGCAUUGCAUCACAGUUGCUCCAAAAUUGAGCAUGCUGCAUCACCUAAAUGUUCUGCUUUUGUUUAACUUCAUUGUUUGUUGUCCUAAACUCCUUUGGCAACUGUGCCAGAUUAUCCUGCUCACAUAUUCAUGUCCCAUCACAGGCUGCCAUGUAGUAAUAUAUAUCCUGCAAGUUGUCAUGUGCUGCAAUGAUGCAAGUUUUAUUUUUGGCCCAUUGUUGGAUGUACGGUGAAGUGGGCGUUCUCAUGAUUAAUGGGUGCUAAGACAUUCUUCCCAAAAAUGUAAGGGCAUAAAGUUCUGAAGAAGCCAGGUCAUAUUGGGCUUUUUAUUCACUUCCUAAUAUUGACAUCUUCAACGCAUGUUCAGGGAUGUUAAAAUGGCAGCAGAUAGCUAGCACAAUUUCGCAAACUGCCUCUGGCAAUAAUCAGCAGUUCCUUUAUUGCCCAACUCAAGUAACUUGUUAAGGCUCUGUUGACAUGCUGGUCCAUGAAACAAUUUCUUUUCCCACUUUUGUAAUUUGGGGUAAUGUUGUGCUACUCUAGAAACAUAUGAGAAUAAGACUAGAGGAGGCUGCCAAUUAAGUUUAAUAUGCAUGUAUUGCUGAUUGGGUUGCAAGAAUGCGUGGUUCUCACAAAGAUUCGCUGGACAUAGCAAUUCACAAAGAUGCUAUAUAAUAUAGCAUUUCACAGAGUUACUGUAUUUUCAUUUGAAGCAGCAGGUCAUGGUGCAGUUACAAGCUUAUUCUAAAACAAAAAUCCACGAGUGAUGCGUUCAUUAACUUUUGUAAUGAACUCGUGACGUGCGGUGCACUUUUUGGCACACCGUGAUAGCUUAUGCCAGAAAAUGCAGUACCGCUUUAGUGGCAGGAUUGUACAGUUCCUUAGCAGUUCUUCAUGUGUGAAUUCAAGAAACAGAUCAAACUCUCAUUUUGUGCAGAUUUAUGCAAACUCCAGUCAGGUUGGGAAACUGGUGAGGUGGGUGAACUUGCCUUCAAAGGUGAAAGUUGACACAUGGUUAGCAGAGACGGCAUCAACACAGUUGCACCUCAGAGCUAAAUCAGCAGCAUGUGUGUGUGGAUAUGCAUAGCCGUUUUGUCAUAGAAUGUAACCAAUGCAAAUUCAUGGGUCAAAAUUCAGAGGAGCCUAGAAACUGUAACAAGUCUGCAUUCACACUAUGGCCUCUAAGACUGUAACAUAGUGCCACGUCAUCUCAGAGAUGGAAGUUUUCAUUUCACUGUCGUGCUGCCAUUUUGGAUAUUGUGUGCUAAUUCCACUCGUGACUCGCUAUUAUCAUGCUCAUGAAAACACGGAUGAGGUCCAGAUAUGACCUUGCCUUGCUGUAAGGCUGACCCGACCGACAGCUGCUGAAAAUAUAUGGACAAAUGCUGUGACGCCCCAGUGAAUAAACCGAGUGUAUGACAAUUCUACUGGCAGACAAGCUUGACAUUUUUGGAGCAUGGGGACUAAGAGGCCUGAUUUCUGCAGUAGGUUGCACCGAAUGCCACCAGAUGCUGCCAUACAAAACACAAAUAGGCAGGCAGUCUUAGUGAACUUUGGCUUCACUAAAAGACAUGACAGUCAAGUGCUAGUCAGUACGCAUGGCAACAAUCACGUAUGCCUUCAAAUUCAAACCAGCUUCUGUGUGUUGCAGUGCCUGCUGUGACAGUACUCAUGACAUGGGCAAUAGGCUAAGCUAAACUAACACGUUCAGCAGGGAAUUGACCUUGCAGGUAUUUAUCAACAUGUCUCUAUAGUCCACUUCACAUGCUGUGUAUUUUUGAUGGAAGUUCCUCUAGUCGUAUAUACAGAUAUAGCAAUGGCACAUAUUGACUUCGAUGUCUUAGAUUUUUGCAUAAGUGUAUGGAGAAAUAUUUGUGUUACUUCAGUGGUGGCAGCGAUUGUAAAUUUUGUGUAAUAUAGCAACCAUGGUACCAUUAAGCAACCAUGAAAUAGUGCUGGCAAAAAGAAAAAAAAGUGACAUUAAGAGGAAGCUUUAGCUCGGGCCCAACUCCGACGCGGCCUAUUCAAAUACAUGUAAAACGGAAAAACGUUUUUCUGAGAUAACCCCUGGACCGAUUUUAAUAAAAUUUGUUGCACUUGAGAGAGAAAGUUCAAUUCUAGUGACUGUUGGAAGCGGAAUUUCGAUUUAGGUCCUGGAUUAUCAUAAAAUAAUUUUCAAAAAUUCGCAAGUCCAAAAAAAAGAGAAGGACGAAGUUUACAAAUUCAUAACUCUGCAUCAAAAGCAGAUAUCGCAGUUCUAUAAACGGCAUCCAUUAGACCAUUGAAAGCGGACAAAUUUGAUAUGUCAUUUUAUAUCUUACGUGAAUUUGUUACGUUGUUUACAAAGGUUCUGCAAAAGCUGUAUUUCCAUACUACUAAAUGUUUUGAUAUUCAGGUAUAGCAUAUCAGUUUUGUCCGCUUUAGAUGUACUAUUAUAUGCAACUCACAGAAUUGUGUUAUCGUUUUUCAUUUCUGAGUUAGAGAGUUGUAAACUUGAUAAUUCCUUCUUUGAAAAUUUGCGAUUUUCGUCAAUUUUUAAUAAAAAUUAAAGCCCUUAACCAAAAAUUCGAUACCAACAGUCACUAGAUUUAAAGUUUUUCUUUUAAAGGCAACAAACCUCGUCAAAUUUGGUGCAGUGGUUGCCGAGAAAAACGAAUUCUCCUUUUACAUGUAUUUAGAUAGGAGCACCAGAGCUAAAGCUUCCUCUUAAGAACGGCAGUUGCCGUAGUGCAGUACACCAGUGUAUUGAGCCUUGUGCUUUUGGCAUUGUUAUGCUUGUGCCCCCUUUUUAAUUAUUUCUUUUCAAUUGAUCUGCAUAACCGAAUUGCAUUGGUUGCUAUCAUUGUAAGCAACUCGUGAAGAUCUUUUGCAUUCUCAUGGCAAAUAAGUAACCAGCUGGGCUCCUGUUGUCUGUUUCCGAGCUAAUGAAAGCUCUUUAUUUUAGAAGUGGUGGGGGGGAGGCUUGGCUUGUCCCGGCUUUGAAUAGUUUUCUGCACUUGCAAAUAGGGAGUAAAACAGUAGUCUGAUUAGCCAGUGCUCCCUCCUGUGUUCUUUCAUUGAUAUAUUGUUGAUGCUGUUUCGUUACAAUAAAGUAAGAAAUUACUGUU